CUCGUCGUAGCUUAAUGGUAGAGUACUGGUAAGUAAAACCAGGGGCCCAGGAUCGAUUCCCGACGAGA
rnacentral:tRNA from 1 species